rnacentral:rRNA from 1 species
UACGUAGGGACCAAGCGUUGUCCGGAAUCAUUGGGCGUAAAGAGCGUGUAGGCGGCCAGAAAAGUCCGCUGUGAAAACUCGAGGCUCAACUUCGAGCUGUCGGUGGAAACUUUCUGGCUAGAGUCCGGAAGAGGAGAAUGGAAUUCCUGGUGUAGCGGUGAAAUGCGCAGAUAUCAGGAAGAACACCCGUGGCGAAGGCGGUUCUCUGGGACGGUACUGACGCUGAGACGCGAAAGCUAGGGGAGCGAAUGGG